rnacentral:ncRNA from 3 species
UAGUGAUAGUAGCGGAUACCGGCCUUGUGGCUAAUGCCUUGUGCAGUAUGAGCGGAUAGCACGGGCCGCA